rnacentral:rRNA from 1 species
GAUGAACGCUGGCGGCGUGCCUAAUACAUGCAAGUCGAGCGAACAGACGAGGAGCUUGCUCCUCUGACGUUAGCGGCGGACGGGUGAGUAACACGUGGAUAACCUACCUAUAAGACUGGGAUAACUUCGGGAAACCGGAGCUAAUACCGGAUAAUAUAUUGAACCGCAUGGUUCAAUAGUGAAAGACGGUUUUGCUGUCACUUAUAGAUGGAUCCGCGCCGCAUUAGCUAGUUGGUAAGGUAACGGCUUACCAAGGCAACGAUGCGUAGCCGACCUGAGAAGGUGAUCGGCCACACUGGAACUGAGACACGGUCCAGACUCCAACGGGAGGCAGCAGUAGGGAAUCUUCCGCAAUGGGCGAAAGCCUGACGGAGCAACGCCGCGUGAGUGAUGAAGGUCUUCGGAUCGUAAAACUCUGUUAUUAGGGAAGAACAAAUGUGUAAGUAACUAUGCACGUCUUGACGGUACCUAAUCAGAAAGCCACGGCUAACUACG